AGGGCAUACGGUGGAUGCCUAGGCGCCAAGAGCCGAAGAAGGACGCGGUAAGCUGCGAAAAGCCACGGGGAACUGCAAGCAAGUAUUGAUCCGUGGAUAUCCGAAUGGGGAAACCCGGCCAUCGUCAUGGAUGGUCACCCGCAAGGGAGGGAACCUGGGGAACUGAAACAUCUAAGUACCCGGAGGAAGAGAAAUCAAACGAGAUGCCCACAGUAGCGGCGAGCGAAGAGGGCAGAGCCCAAACCGAGAAGCUCCGGCUUUUCGGGGUUGAGGACCGGCAGAAUCGAAGUCAGGCCUAGUUGAAUUACCUGGAAAGGUAAGCGAGAGAGGGUAAAAGCCCCGUAGACGAAAGGCAGAGCAGAGAGGCCGAGAUCCAGAGUACCACGAAGCACGAGGAAUUUUGUGGGAAGCAGGGGGGACCACCCUCCAAGGCUAAAAACUACUUGGCGACCGAUAGCGCAUAGUACCGUGAGGGAAAGGUGAAAAGAACCCCGGGAGGGGAGUGAAAUAGUACCUGAAACCGUAUGUCUACAAGCAGUCGAAGCGAAAGCGACGGCGUGCCUAUUGAAGAAUGAACCAACGAGUUAUCUGCACUAGCGAGGUUAAGUGGAAGACACGGAGCCGCAGCGAAAGCGAGUCUUAAGAGGGCGCUAGUUAGUGUAGGUAGACCCGAAACCGCAGUGAUCUACCCAUGUCCAGGUUGAAGCGCAGGUAAAAUUGCGUGGAGGACCGAACCGGUGAGCGUUGAAAAGCUUUCGGAUGAGAUGUGGGUAGGGGUGAAAUUCCAAUCGAACGCGGAGAUAGCUGGUUCUCCCCGAAAUAGCUUUAGGGCUAGCCUGAGGUAGUAAGUAUAGGCGGUAGAGCACUGAUCGGGCUAGGGGCCGUAAAGGUUACCGAACCCUGUCAAACUCCGAAUGGAUAUACUGUAGAGCCUUGGAGUCAGACUACGAGUGAUAAGAUCCGUGGUCAAAAGGGAAACAGCCCAGACCACCAGCUAAGGUCCCCAAUGUCGUACUAAGUGGAAAAGGAUGUGGGGUUUCAUAAACAACCAGGAUGUUGGCUCAGAAGCAGCCACCAUUUAAAGAGUGCGUAAUAGCUCACUGGUCGAGAGACCCUGCGCCGAAGAUUCCCGGGGCUAAAGUACGAAACCGAAGCUGUGGCUGUAUACGUAAAGUAUACGGGGUAGGGGAGCGUUCCCAUAGGGUAGAAGUCGAACUGGAAGGUUCGGUGGACUUGUGGGAAGUGAGAAUGUUGGUAUGAGUAGCGAAAAGAAAGGUGAGAAUCCUUUCCACCGAAAGCAUAAGGAUUCCUGAGCAACGAUCGUCGUCUCAGGGUAAGUCGGGACCUAAUCCGAGGCAGAGAGCGUAGGAGAUGGACAACUGGUUGAUAUUCCAGUACCGGUAGUAAUUGUUUGAGCAAUGGAGUGACACAGAAGGGCAGGCAAGCAUGCGAAUGGAAGAGCAUGUGUAAGCGUGUAGGGUGGUGCAUAGGCAAAUCCGUGCACUGAAAGCCUGAGGCGUGAUGCGGAGUGAGCAGAGAUGCGAGCGAAGUUGUUGACCCCACACUGUCGAGAAAAGCUUCUAGUGAGAGAGCUACCGCCCGUACCGUAAACCGACACAGGUAUGCGGGGAGAGAAUCCUAAGGUGCGCGGGAGAACCCUCGUUAAGGAACUCGGCAAAAUGUACCCGUAACUUCGGGAUAAGGGUAGCCACUGUUGUGAAGUCCCAUGCGGAUGGAGCAUAGAGUGGUCGCAGAGAAGAGGCCCAAGCGACUGUUUACCAUAAACACAGGUGCCUGCUAAAGCGAAAGCUGACGUAUAGGUGCUGACACCUGCCCAGUGCCGGAAGGUUAAGGAAGGAUGUUCGGAUUAGUCCAAAGCAUUCGACUGAAGCCCCGGUGAACGGCGGCCGUAACUAUAACGGUCCUAAGGUAGCGAAAUUCCUUGUCGGGUAAGUUCCGACCCGCACGAAAGGUGUAACGACUUGGGCACUGUCUCAACGAGGGACCCGGUGAAAUUGAAGUACCUGUGAAGAUGCAGGUUACCCGCGACUGGACAGAAAGACCCCAUGGAGCUUUACUGUAACCUGACAUUGGGUUUUGAUACAUUACGUACAGGAUAGGUGGGAGGCAUGGAAAGCUGGACGCUAGUCUGGCUGGAGCCGCCGUUGGGAUACCACCCUUGAUGUAUUGAAAUUCUAACCGCGAGAGUAACGAAAUCCGGGACAGUGUCAGGCGGGCAGUUUGACUGGGGCGGUCGCCUCCGAAAGAGUAACGGAGGCGCCCAAAGGUUCCCU
rnacentral:rRNA from 1 species